rnacentral:rRNA from 1 species
UACGUAGGUGGCAAGCGUUGUCCGGAAUUAUUGGGCGUAAAGCGCGCGCAGGCGGUCCUUUAAGUCUGAUGUGAAAGCCCACGGCUCAACCGUGGAGGGUCAUUGGAAACUGGGGGACUUGAGUGCAGGAGAGAAGAGUGGAAUUCCACGUGUAGCGGUGAAAUGCGUAGAGAUGUGGAGGAACACCGGUGGCGAAGGCGGCGUUCUGGACUGCAACUGACACUGAAAAACGAAAGCCAGGGGAGCAAACGGG